rnacentral:rRNA from 1 species
UAUGGCUCAGAUUGAACGCUGGCGGCAGGCUUAAUACAUGCAAGUCGAACGGUAGCAGCAGGAAGGCUUGCCUUCUGGCUGACGAGUGGCGGACGGGUGAGUAAUACCUGGGAAACUGCCUAUAAGAGGGGGACAACACCUGGAAACGGGUGCUAAUACCGCAUAAGCCCUGAGGGGAAAAGGAUGGGAAACCAUGCGCUUAUAGAUGUGCCCGGGAGGGAUUAGCUUGUUGGGGAGGCAAAGGCUCACCAAGGCGACGAUCUCUAGCUGGUCUGAGAGGAUGAUCAGCCACAUUGGGACUGAGACACGGCCCAAACUCCUACGGGAGGCAGCAGUAGGGAAUAUUGCACAAUGGGGGAAACCCUGAUGCAGCCAUGCCGCGUGUGUGAAGAAGGCCUUCGGGUUGUAAAGCACUUUCAGCGGGGAGGAAGGCGGAAGUUCCAACAGGGCUUUCCGUCGGACGCUACCCGCAGAAGAAGCGCCGGCUAACUCCGUGCCAGCAGCAGC